ACUAGCCGUGUUCAUUGUGUAUGC
rnacentral:siRNA from 1 species